rnacentral:lncRNA from 1 species
CUCAACAAAACCUCAGCAUUGAACACAAAAGGUCGUGCAAAUCCAGGAAAAUGCUCCUUCUUUGUAUAAAAUUCCCCUGGUAUUAAAGCUGAAACCUUCCAGACACAGACAUAAUUAACAUGUAAAUCAACUGUUUAAUGGCAACUGCUUGAGAACCUAAUUAAAUCCAAGAUAGUAAGAGCACUUGACAUGAUCCCCUUCCUCAAAAUGCCGCUUCACUUUGCGCUCUAUGAUAUCUGGAAAUAUACAAACCUGGAAGCAAAUUAGAUUCUUGCAACGGUUUAUUAUGAAAUUUAAAAAAACAAAGCUUAAAAAUCCAUUUGUAUCUUUUUCAAAAGAUAGACAUCUAGGUUUGAAAUUUUAGACUCAGCAAAAUCACCCUUCCUGUAUAGUUUCACCCCUGCAUCUGCAGAAGCAUGGAAUAGUUCUUCAUUUCUCUCUUGACUGUUCUUUGCAUCUUCUUCAACCAAUAUUCUGUGUAUAAAUUGGUCUACCUAUAUAUAGAAAAGUAUAGUCAGCACAAUAAACACCUUAAUUAAGGCAUGAUUAAUCUUUCAUUGGGGAUGCUUGCCAGGCUCAGGCAAUAAAGCUGAAGAAUUUAUCAAAGUAGACUCAACUCCUUUCCCAAGCAUAUAUCAAAUAACAAACUACCUUGCAUUUCCAGAAUCAUAUCCCUGACCUCUUGGACAUUUCAUCCUUCCAUCUCGCAGUAUGUUUAAGCCUAAAGAGCAGUACCACAGACACACACUUGUCUGUCCAAGAACACAAUAAUAAACAGAUUAACACCAAAGGUUAUAAUUCCCCCAGAUGAAAGAUGCAAUAAAAGAAUGGUGCAAAUUUGGUUGAGAAGUGGACUUUAGCAGAUUUUUUUAAAAAUCAGAUUCACACUGAAACCCGUAUCAAUAUAAUCAAACAAUUCAAAAUCAUGCCAGUUUGUGGUAUUGAACUGACCUCAAAUACAGUCACAAUACCAAAUUAAGUUUUUAUCAUCCACAAAUUAUUCAGCAAGUAGAAUCUAAUAUACACACAAAAUUGAAGAUACCAUAUAAAAUGGUUAAUAGAAAACAUUUGCUUAUGGAUCCAAGAUUCCAAUGUUAUAGCCAUGAAACAUUCCACCAACAACUUAAUAUGAAACAAUGCACUCUCAUCACAGUUAACAGUGAAGAAGUUGAACAAAUCAGGAAUGACCUAUGAAAGCCAAUAAUUAACAGAAAAGGUAAUAGUUGAACAGUAACAUACAGGAUUCUACAGUUGCUUGUGCUGAGAGCUAGGACGUGAAUGGAAAUCCGCAACCAAAACUGCAAUAAUGUUGUUCAGCAAAAGUGAAACAAGAAAAGAAUACAUCAGUUGUUAAUAUACAGCAUAUUAUGCAGAACUUUCGAGCAGAAUGCAAAUAUGAAACAGAAAAUUAUAUUUCCUUUAUCUCUUUCUCUAGCAUAUACUUGAUGAAAACAGAAAUAUGAAGAGGACUUGAUACCAAAAACUACCUUACCAGUACUAUCCUCAGCAACACUCUGUAUGCACCACACCAAUCAACUCCAACCAAAAGGCUCCACCAAAACCUGUUUUUGUAACAGAUAUUACCAAUUCAUGCAAACCAAAUAAAAGAAACAAAUCACAACGUCAAUUAUCUGGCACAGUUGAAAAAUUUAGAAGCUUUAAAUUUAUAGGAAUAUUAAGAAAUCCACAUCACAGCAUCGAACUGAUGAGGAACAUCAGCAAGAGGAGUCACAUUGGUAUGGGAAUACAGAAGGGUGUGUCUCUGUUUUGAUAAUAGAGAGAGAAGCUCUUGGUUUUCCUCCUUGAGUAAUCCAUGAAGCCUUAGUCCCAAGUAAUGCACGAUCAAGGCUGUUAUUUUCCACAUAUUCAUAGACUAAUACACAACUUGGUCCUUCAACCCAGCAACCUUUCAAUUCAACAAGGUUUGGCUGCUUAACAUGUGAUAUAGUAUUAAUUUCAGUCAAAAAUUUACAAACUCACUGCCUUGACCCAGCUGAAAGGGUCUUCACUGCUACCUGUCUCCGAUUUUUUAAGGUUCCCUAGCAAAAAUGUAACAUAAGUGUUCAGUGACUUGUUCACAAUAAAUAUCAGCAUAAAAUUAUAAAAUGUGAUGGUAUUAUUUAUGGGUACUUAUGCGACAACUUAGCUUAAUAUACAGAGCCUUCAGACAUGAUGUCAGAGAUAUGAUAGUCAUAUAUGUCCCUUCAACUAACUGUUUAAGAUUUUAGAUGAUUUGGUUCCUGACAUGGUAUUGAGGGUUUGAUGCGUAAGUACUAAGGGGGUGGAUUAGAGAUAUAUUGAAGUUAUUCAUGUGCCUUUACCUACUACCUUAAGCUUUUGGAAUAUUUGGCUCAAUACACUUUAAGAUUAUCCUAAUACAUUGUUUCCCUAUGUUGUCCCAAAGGAAUAUGAACUGGUGUGGGGAGGGGGUGUAAAGUGGAGGCGAACAAAUUAUCGUCUUAGAAUUUGUCUCAUAUUUUUAAAAUCAUCCAUAUUUUUAUAUCAUGUUUCAAGCAAAAUAGACCUGAGAGUCAAUGCUGUUUAAUCUUUCACCGGGGAUGCUUGCCAGGCUCAGGCAAUAAAGCUAUGGACAUUUGAAUAAUUAAGCCAUCGAUAGGAUCUGAAUGAUAUUCAGUAUUCAUAUCUUGGCAAAUAUUUUCUUUGGGAAAAAACAAGCCUGAGAAAUGUGAAGUAAGAGUAACAAAAUAUUAUUCUUACAUGUGAAGCAUGGAAGAUGGUUGACAGAACUCAACAAAAUAUGUCCAAGACUGUAGUAUGAAUUGUAUAAUUUACCUCUAACUGCACUUCAAAAAACUUCAUACGAAGUUCUAGCUAUACCAAAAUGGAGAGCCGCUGCAGCCUGUAGUAGGUGGAAGCAAAUUUGUCAAGUAUGUUAACCUGCAAUUAUUUGAAAAUGAAAACCAGAAAUAUUAGGUUGAAUGCACCCUUGCCAUGCUGUUCAAAUUAUAUCAAUGAAUAGUUAAUACUAUAUAUAUAUAUAUAUACCUGUGCAGGGGCCUUCCCUUUUUUAAGAUCUUCCUGCCUUCCUUCCUCAGUCACCCUCUCUUUAAUAUACUCAAUUUGUUCAUCGUCCCAUAGUGCGAUAUUAGCAACAUCCUAGACAAAAACAAACAAUGGCACAAAAAAAUACCAGAGGAGAGGGGAACAAAAGAAAAGAGAUCAAUUUCAAACUUAUGUUUACACCAGAAAACCAAACUGAUAAAGACUUCAUACCUCAUACUCACAGCCCAGAGUCCACCAUGGUGAUUUCAAACAAAGUCAUCAUCUUGGCGACUUCUCCAGCGAGUUCUUGAGCAUCAUAGUAUAUCAGUAGAAUGUUACCUGCCUAUCAUACAUCAAAGCAGUCUUUGGACAACCAUAAAAGCAUAGAACAUGUAUACCCAUGGACUUACAGCAAUCUCACCAAUGUAGACGUACAACAAACUGAAAUGAGUGCACAAUUACAAGUAACAAUUAUACCAGUACAUUCAGCACUCAGCAGCCAUAUUAUAGGAUGGUUGAUCUCCGAAGAGAUGAUUUGAUUUCAGAGAUGGAGUUUAUCAAACACCAACCAGUGCAACUUCUUGUUUAUUUUCCAGAAUGGUUGAUCUGCAUAUCAUUAUUGCGCUCACCCAACAGCUAUAACCAGGGUUCUUAGGGAUCUGAUUAUCACUCAUUAAAUCCCUAACAACCUUUGCUUCAUCCCAUCUCCCCAUAGAAAAAUACAUGUUGGCAAGAAGCACAUAAGAGAUAGAAUUUUGCGGGACCAAUCUGAAGAGUUCCUCAGCUGCUCUUUUUGCUAAGCUCAAGUUCGCAUGAAUACGGCAUGAGCUUAGCACAACCUCCCACACAAUUGGAUCAUCUUUGCACGACAUAGCAGCUAGAACUAUACUUUUAUGCCAAAAGAAAAUUAUGCUUGGAAGAGCAAAAUAACUGGCUUUGAAAUAAUUUCUAGAUACCAACUUGCCAUCAUCUUAUCACUAAAAUUAUUAAAUGCAUAGCAUUAACACUCUCGACAUAUAUAUAGCUAUAGGAACCUGGAUAGAUAUUAAACUACUGCAUUGUGCCAGUGUUUCAUGGGCAACUGCAACCCCCUUCCUUUUUCAGACUCACUUCGAAGUGAUUCAAAUUCAAUAUGAAUGUUUACAAGAAAACUUCCAGUUUUGAUAGUAAGACGAAGACAACAAGUAAAACUGACAUAAUAGUCGGUACACAAAUGAUAGCCAUAGACUGAUAAUUUUAAACAUCUAUUAGUCAAGUCUAUGGAGAAAUAAUAGACGAGCUAUUCCACAGGUGUCCCUUUCUUUCACAUUAGUUCUAGCCACAACUUAUAUUUCUACCUUCCUAUUUGAUUUGACAUUUAACUUAUUAAAAAAUAAAUACCCAACAACAUUUACCCAUUUUCCAUCCAGUAUCAAUCCAUUUGGAUUAUUUUAGGCAUCAUAAACAAGUUAUGGCUAACCUCUUGUUGAAUAUAUACACCAAUGUCUCCUAAUAUAGCAUUAUUCUUUUGAAAUAAAUCCUGCAUCAAGAGCAUAUAUUUCAGUAAUACUUGUUUUAGUGUUUGUCUGCCAAGCCAUGAGCAUAAGAGUACAAAUUUAUUAAAGCAAGUGUUGUUGAUUUAUUAUAUGUGAAAAUGACUAGAAAAUAUGAAGUACCUGUCCAGCUCCCUCUGCCACGCAUACUACAGCCUAUCCCGUUGUUUCUAUAAGGUAUUUGAGAUGACUUAAAACUCCAUGAGGUCAGUGGAAAUUGAAAGGAAUCUUUGAAACAGAAAAAUUUAGUAUAAAUCAACAUAUUUACCUCAGGAAUUAGACAUACGUCACUGUCCACAAGCUAAGGCAGCAUGCAUUGCUAUGAAUCCGCUGCUACGGGCCAUCAAUUUCACAAUCCCAAUUCCAUGAUAUUAGGGAAGAGAAGCAAAAAUUUUAACAUCUACCAAGUAAAAAGCAUGACUGGAUCUAGUCAGUAGAUACAACAUAUUAAAUAAUUUACCUCAAUAUAAGAAGAAUUUAUUGCCUCUUUGUGCUUCUUCAACCGCAGUAUCAAAGCCAAAAGUUUUGUCCAUCAAUAGAAUAUCAUUGUCUAUGGUUUUAGGUACUCCGAUUACUGAUACUUUAAGCCGUCUUUUACAGCACUGAAGGAAAAAUUAGUUCAUCAAACACUCUGGAAAAGCUUAUAUGUAAGAGUAGUAUGUAAAAUAUCAUUUAGGAGCAUCAACCAAUUAACUCAUCCAUAUUCCAGAUUGUAGGCAAAAAGAGUCAAACAUACUAGCUUCUUUUCAUUGUGGUUACCAAUAAUAAAGGGUCGGAAUGGGCACUCAAAAAAUAAAUCAAAUUAUUUAUCAAUCUUUUUUUAUUAUACUAUUUGUGUGUUUCUUCAUCUGUUCCAAAAAUCAACAGCAACAACAAAACAAAAGAACUCAACUAUUAAAAAUUAGAGAAAAGAAAGAAAGGUGUGGCACCGAUGAAGGGUUUUGGCCAUGAAUAAAUCUAAUUUCAUCUCUCUCGCAUUUCAUUAUCAGCUCAAGAUCAAGAAAAUCCCAUUAUUAUCAUAUACUAAGAAUUUGGCUCAAGAAUUUUAGGAAUUCAUGCAGAAGAUUGAAAAUUGAGAGAAAGAAAGCUAGGCGUGGCAUUGAGAAUAAAGAAUUCAUGUUACAUUAUCAUUCAGGACCAUCAACCAAUCUAACUCAUCCAUAUUCCAGGUUGUAGGCAACAAGAGUCAAACAUACUAGCCUCUCUUCCAGAGUCCACCAUGGUGAUUUCAAAGCUCCCCUGGCAGCGUCUUUAGCUUCUACAUUAUGCCCAACCCUGUACAAAAAUAUUUAGAAAGAAAAAAGCCUUAGAUUAUGAAAACAUUUUGUGACAGUUUUCCAUUUUAAACAACCUCAAGAAGGAAGCCAAAUAUGCUACUACCAACCUCAACAAAACCUCAGCAUUGAACACAAAAGGUCGUGCAAAUCCAGGAAAAUGCUCCUUCUUUGUAUAAAAUUCCCCUGUUAUUAAAGCUGAAACCUUUCAGACAUAGACAUGAUUAACAUGUAAAUCAACUGUUUAAUGGCAUCUGCUUGAGAAACUAAAUAAAUGCAAGAUAGUAAGAGCACAUUACAUGAUCCCCUUCCUCAAAAUGCCGC